UACAGAGGUCUCAAGCGUUGUUCGGAUUUCAUUGGGCGUAAAGGGUGCGUAGGCGGCGCGGUAAGUCGGGUGUGAAAUUCGGAGCUUAACUCCGAAACUGCAUUCGAUACUGCCGUGCUUGAGGACUGGAGAGGAGACUGGAAUUUACGGUGUAGCGGUGAAAUGCGUAGAUAUCGUAAGGAAGACCAGUGGCGAAGGCGGGUC
rnacentral:rRNA from 1 species